GAGUAUUACAAACUGACGUUAAAUAUGAAAAAAUUUUCUUCAAAAAAGAUUUUUAAAAAAAUUAAUUAAUUAAAAGGAACUCGGCAAACUUAGUUGCUUCGCCUGUUUAUCAAAAACAUGGCUCUCUGCUUAUAUAAAUAUAGGGAGUCGAGCCUGCCCAGUGAAUUUUUUUUAACGGCCGCGGUACUCUGACCGUGCAAAGGUAGCAUAAUCAUUUGCCUUAUAAUUGAAGGCUAGUAUGAAUGGUUUGACGAGAGCAACACUGUCUCUUUUUUAUUUUCAAGAACUUAACUUUUAGGUGAAGAGGCCUAAAUUUUAUUGAAGGACAAGAAGACCCUGUCGAGCUUAAAAGACAUUGUAGAAGUCUAUAUAUAUAUUAAAUAAAUUUUCUAUCAAGCUUUUUAGUUGGGGCGACUAAGGAACAAAAAAAGCUUCUUGUUAAUAAUAAACAGUCAUGUUUAGAUCCGAUAAUAAUCGAUCGGGGGAAUUAGUUACCGCAGGGAUAACAGCAUAAUCUCUCUUGAGAGACCUAAUCGAAAGAGGGGGUUGUGACCUCGAUGUUGGACUAGAAUAUCCUGAAGGUGCAGAAGUCUUUAAGGGUCGGUCUGUUCGACCGUUAAAAUUCUACGU
rnacentral:rRNA from 1 species